UGUAGUUUCAAUCAACAGCAGAGCAGAGAAACUUGGCGAUUUUGAAAACUAUAAACUUUAGCUAUAUAGCCAGGAUCGGACCCGUAUCAACGUAAAGCUUCGGCCAUUCAAUACAGCUCAACUAAAGGUAAAUAAAUUAUUCAAGAUGCCUUCACUUUUCGGCUAUCAUUGGCUAAACAUGAUAUCGUUUCUUUUGCUGAUUGGUGGACUGAUUUUGACACGAGCCCAGGAGAGUUCCCCUAGCAAUGAUAAAGGUUUGUACACACUUGAACCUUUUCCUCGUAUCUUGAGGCAACUACAUCCGGGAUACGGAAGAGAUCUGUCAUCCUUUCUCUACCAACUUCCAGAAAGUGACGCCAAGAGAGAAGAUUUCAAACGACCAGCAUAUCAUGUGAUGGGGUCUGAGUUUCUAGGGAAGAGGUCAGUUUCUGAGCAUGCCAAUAAAAGGAUGGGAUCCGAGUUUUUGGGCAAGAGGAUGGGAUCCGAGUUUUUGGGCAAAAGGAUGGGUUCCGAAUUUCUUGGAAAACGAAUGGGCUCGGAAUUUCUGGGUAAACGUAUGGAAGACUUUAACGAUGACUUCAAUGAAGAAGACGACACUGUAACAGAUUAUCAAGACAAACGGAUGGGAUCAGAAUUUCUUGGCAAGCGAAUGGGCUCUGAGUUUUUGGGAAAAAGAAUGGGAUCAGAAUUUCUAGGUAGAAGGAAACGAGAAAUGCAUCUUCUAAUGUCAAGGCAAAGAUCGCCGAAAGAGGACUCUUCAUUUAUAUUAUAGGUCCAGACCAACCAAAUGGAAACUCACGAAGAUUGAAACAAGAAUCCAUUCUAUUCACCAAAUCCAGACGAAUUUCUUCCACCAUCUUACUCUUCAGAGCGAGCUGAACAAAUGUUCUUUCAAGUAAUCAUAAAAGUUUCCAAAACAGUGAAGGUCUUUCAAUGAAUACAGAGGAGUUUUAAAUUUAAUCCAUAUAAAGUCAUGAAAGGUGGCCAGUGGACCCAAGGAAGAUAACACCCAUAUUUUUUGAGGCCCCGGAUAAGGGUAUUAAUUUUCUUGAGGUCAUCGAAUAAAUUAGAAGAAACUGCCGUAAUUAAGUUCGGAUUCAAAUCAAAGAAGGACAUGACAUCUAUAAAACUCUUAAUAGUCUAAAAAUGAUUAAGUUAUAUGUUUUAAUACAGGAACUUAGCUACAGGAAAUAUCAUCCAAAAACUCGUUGUUCUUUUUCAACAUGUAAAGGUAAAAUGCGUUUGGUGAUAAGUUCAAGGAAGUGGAACUAUAAUAGCUAAUUCAUAAUAAUUAAUAAAAGCUAAUAUUAAAUGUAUCAAUAUCCUUUUAAGUGAGUAAGUUAAAUGAUAUUGAAAUAGAAAGUAAAAAGUAAGACACUGUAGAAAAGUAGGUCAGGAACCAUCCUAUUAAAAUUUAUUAAAGAUAUUUAGUGAAACUGAAAUACGCGUUCUGGAUUUGUUGUUUGGGAGUAAGGAUCUAGUUUUAAUCUGGCAUUUAUCUCCUGCACGUGUGAUUUACCAAAAUCUUAGUUUCUAAACCUCGAUGUACAUGUUUACUAUAAACCACACCUCUAACAACUUUUACAGUAAUGGUAAAGUAAGUAGAAUUAACUGUUCUAAUCAGCAUUCUUCAGAUGUAAAACAAUUAGAAAUAAAAUGUGUUUCAAAGAC
rnacentral:lncRNA from 1 species